AUCCUUGUAGCACAAUGGGCAGUGCAUCUGGCUGUUAACCAGAAGGUUGGUGGUUCGAGCCCACCCAGGGACG